GUAAUGGUUUCUUUAGAAACCACAUUUUUUUCUUUGAAGUUAUUC
rfam:Picea glauca, whole genome shotgun sequence.